rnacentral:lncRNA from 1 species
GUCUGCAAGGCCUACGCAACAGUGUGACCCUGGACUGCACGUGGUUCAAGGAUGAAGGUCUCCAGUGGCGGCCCAGGACCAUGGACUUGGAAAGAAGCACACUUUUAGUUUUUGCGUUGUUCCCUCUCACCUUCGCAGCUGCUGGCUUCUUAAUCACACUGUUUGCUCUGUAACCAUUUUCUUGUGGAGUCCCUGGCUUUAUCUGACCCCCGUGACCUUGAUUGAGAAAACCUGAUGCUGAGAUGCUUUUCCUCAGAUGUGGGUUGAGCAGGUGAGGGUCUGCUGGGUUUUAUAAUGAACUUCAAUCCCUCAGGGCUGGAGUCUAUUUGGAAAACAAUCCUGUCUGUGACUGGCCGGAGAGGGGCUUACUUUUAGAAAAUACCAGUGAACGUGUGUCUGAGCAGCCAGUCUGCUAGGCUGAAUCCGCCCUCGCUGGCUAGAGUUGGGGUGCAAAUUCUGCCUACACCAAGCACUGCCAGCCCCUGUCACCAAGGCAGAGCAACUGUGCUUGGCCCAUAGUCACUUCAGCCACGGCCACCCUCUUCUCUGAAUGAAGCACAACGGAGAGCCAGUCACUGGCCUGAGAUCAGGUGGCUGUUUAGCCUCAGACCCAAGAUUUGCCCCCAGCCGACUUGGUUAGGACUCAGGUUCAUCACCUCUGAGCUGCGCCCAAGAUCUCAGCCCCUGUAACGGGAGGAUGGCAAGUCUGCUUAGGGGAACGCAUGGGUGACAUCUGGAAGGACGUGGUGACGGGGUGAACAUCUGGGAAAAGGUGACAGGCAUGUCGGUGACGUCCCAGGAUGUACUCAGGUUCAACUGCAUGAGACCCAUCGCACAGAGGGGACAACCAUAACAUGGGGAGGAUUCACUACAAAUCCAGGUCUGGAUUCUUUGGAAAAAAUCAGAAUAUCCAGCAACACCGAACACAGAUCCUGCAUGGUGGCGUCUGGUGCUAACUCGCUGUGGACCCUCUCCCUGCAUUCAGCUCAGCCCGGGAAGCCUUUGGGUCUGUGGGUUCUGUUAUGGGGUGCGCCGCCGUGUCCACGGGACCUGAGACCUUUCUGAAACAUUUCACUUGGCAAGAGUGGCGAACCCCAGGGGCGCAUUCCCCUCAGAGGGAGGCUUUCUAAGCACGGAUCGGGAAGCGUAAAUAUGAACUGAUCAGCAGCCUCUGACCUCUGACACCCUAUGUUAGCAGCGUGUGUGUCUGUGUGAUACAGACUGUCUGGAAGAAAUAAAAACCCGAGCAUCUCCA